GACGGAGGAUGCAAGCGUUAUCCGGAAUGAUUGGGCGUAAAGCGUCCGCAGGUGGCAGUUCAAGUCUGCUGUCAAAGACCGGGGCUUAACUUCGGAAAGGCAGUGGAAACUGAACAGCUAGAGUAUGGUAGGGGCAGAGGGAAUUCCUGGUGUAGCGGUGAAAUGCGUAGAGAUCAGGAAGAACAUCGGUGGCGAAGGCGCUCUGCUGGACCAUAACUUACACUCAGGGACGAAAGCUAGGGGAGCGAAUGGG
rnacentral:rRNA from 1 species